UGACGUGUGCUGAUGGGAACCGUGGUAAAGCAUUGUGCUUUUUUAAAAGCUGGCAAAUGUUUAGCUAAGACCCAACAGCGUAAAGCCCCAACCAGAUUUCCUUUCCAGUAAUCCUGACAUGUUCAGCAAUUUACUGUGUAUCUUUCUCACCAUGUGCUUAUUUUUUCUGUUAAGGAUCACACAACGCCUGAGAAAGAGAAAUGUUUGGAAAAGCAGCAGUGCCAUCUUGUGGAACUUUUGGCGGCUUUAAAUUCGCCACAGCGCCACUGCAGAUCUGUGUGGUUAUCUGUAUCAAAAGGAGUACGCGUUUUGUUUUGUGCUUCCUCAAGGAAUAUAUUGGAAAUUUCUUCACGGUACAGUUAUGACUUAGAGUUAAGUAUCUGCUGCCGAAGGGGCAUUGUAGCAGGGUGUGGAAUUGCUUCCCGAGGAGGGAGGGCCUUCUUUGAGCACGGAGCUUCCCUCCCUCCCUGUCUGGAGCUCAGCUCAGCUGUUCAGCAUGUGCAUUGGUUGAUGUUGGCUCUUUAUCCUUUGACAGGCACUCGCCAGGAAGUGCUCAAGGCAUUGCUAGCGCUUCAGGGAGGGGCUGCAUCUUCUCUUUUCCUCUUGAACCCUGCUUAUGCACUACACUGGCAGAGGUGAUGGCAGUGGGAAUGAGGAGUGCACUUACCGGCUCCAAAACAGAAACCCCAGGAUUCAAAGCCUGGCAGCUGAGGGCCUUUCUGGCUCCUCUCUACUCACACAAAUCCCUAGUCUCACAAUAGCGUACAUCUAAAACACACCCAAGGAGGAGAAAAAACAAAAUAAAAUAUUUCCAUAGUUGCAUUUAUCAGCUUGCUUUUCCUAUAAUGAAAUAACUGAGGUAACAAAUUGAAAGAAGGAAGGUUUUACUUUGGUGCCUGUUUUCAGAGGUUUCAGUCUGUGGCUGGUUGGCCCUGUUGCCUUGGGCCUGCAGUGAGGCAGAACCUUGCACGGCAGAGAUAGAAGCAGAUAGAAGCAGCUGCUCACACCAUGGGAGCCAGGAAGUAAUGAGAGUGGGGGAGGGAGGGAAGCCGACAGGCGAGAAGGGAGGAGGCAGAGGAGGAGAGAAGAGAGGAAAGAAGCGGAGGGCACAGCUGGGUCCCGGUCCGCUUCCGGGGCUCACCUCUGAUGACCUGCUGUCUUCCCUCUGGUCCCACUUCCCAAGGGCUCCACCACGUUCCACGGCAGGAGACCCAGGACGCAGGCCUCUGCGGGGCGUCUAGAUCGAAG
rnacentral:lncRNA from 1 species